UCCGACCUCAGAUCGGACGAGAUUACCCGCUGAAUUUAAGCAUAUCAC
rnacentral:rRNA from 1 species